rnacentral:rRNA from 1 species
GACGUAGGGCGCGAGCGUUGUCCGGAUUUAUUGGGCGUAAAGAGCUCGUAGGCGGCUUGUUACGUCGACUGUGAAAACCCGCGGCUCAACUGCGGGCCUGCAGUCGAUACGGGCAGGCUAGAGUUCGGUAGGGGAGACUGGAAUUCCUGGUGUAGCGGUGAAAUGCGCAGAUAUCAGGAGGAACACCGGUGGCGAAGGCGGGGUCUCUGGG